UACGGGGGGGGCAAGCGUUGUUCGGAAUUACUGGGCGUAAAGGGCUCGUAGGCGGCCAACUAAGUCGGAUGUGAAAUCCCCAGGCUUAACCUGGGAACUGCAUCCGAUACUGGAUGGCUUGAAUCCGGGAGAGGGAUGCGGAAUUCCAGGUGUAGCGGUGAAAUGCGUAGAUAUCAGGAGGAACACCGGUGGCGAAGGCGGGUCUCUGGGCCGAUAUUGACGCUGAGGAGCGAAAGCAUGGGGAGCGAACAGG
rnacentral:rRNA from 1 species